UGCUUGGCUGGCAGCACGACACUAAAAUUGGAACGAUACAGAGAAGAUUAGCAUGGCCCCUGCGCAAGGAGACGUGCAAAUUUGUGAAGCGUUCCAUAUUUUU